AUGGGGUUUAAAGAUUUGGAGAGUUUUAAUUUGGCCAUGUUAUCUAAACAAUGUUGGAGACUGCUGAGCGAGCCAAACUCUUUGUGUACCCAAGUGCUUCGUGCAAAGUAUUACCCUUCAGGUGAUCUUUUGAAUUGUGAUUUGAAGAAGGGGAGCUCUUACACGUGGCAAAGUUUAUGGGCAGGUAUACAAACGUUU
rnacentral:rRNA from 1 species